GACGAACGCUGGCGGCGUGCCUAAUACAUGCAAGUAGAACGCACAGUUUAUACCGUAGCUUGCUACACCAUAGACUGUGAGUUGCGAACGGGUGAGUAACGCGUAGGUAACCUGCCUGGUAGCGGGGGAUGACUAUUGGAAACGAUAGCUAAUACCGCAUAAUAUUAAUUAUUGCAUGAUAAUUAAUUGAAAGGUGCAAUUGCACCACUACCAGAUGGACCUGCGUUGUAUUAGCUAGUAGGUGAGGUAACGGCUCACCUAGGCGACGAUACAUAGCCGACCUGGGAGGGUGAUCGGCCACACUGGGACUGAGACACGGCCCAGACUCCUACGGGAGGCAGCAGUAGGGAAUCUUCGGCAAUGGACGAAAGGCUGACCGAGCAACGCCGCGGGAGGGAAGAAGGGUUUCGGAUCGUAAAGCUCUGUUGUAAGAGAAGAACGGGUGUGAGAGUGGAAAGUUCACACUGUGACGGUAUCUUACCAGAAAGGGACGGCUAACUACGUG
rnacentral:rRNA from 1 species